AAGCAUAUCAAUAAGCGGAGGAAAAGAAACCAACAGGGAUUGCCCUAGUAACGGCGAGUGAAGCGGCAACAGCUCAAAUUUGAAAUCUGGCUUCGGCCCGAGUUGUAAUUUGUAGAGGAAGCUUUAGGCGCGGCACCUUCUGAGUCCCCUGGAACGGGGCGCCAUAGAGGGUGAGAGCCCCGUAUAGUUGGAUGCCUAGCCUGUGUAAAGCUCCUUCGACGAGUCGAGUAGUUUGGGAAUGCUGCUCAAAAUGGGAGGUAAAUUUCUUCUAAAGCUAAAUACCGGCCAGAGACCGAUAGCGCACAAGUAGAGUGAUCGAAAGAUGAAAAGCACUUUGAAAAGAGGGUUAAAUAGCACGUGAAAUUGUUGAAAGGGAAGCGCUUGUGACCAGACUUGCGCCGGGCUGAUCAUCCGGUGUUCUCACCGGUGCACUCUGCCCGGCUCAGGCCAGCAUCGGUUCUCGCGGGGGGAUAAAGGCCCAGGGAAUGUAGCUCCUCCGGGAGUGUUAUAGCCCGGGGCGCAAUGCCCUCGCGGGGACCGAGGUUCGCGCUCUGCAAGGAUGCUGGCGUAAUGGUCAUCAGCGACCCGUCUUGAAACACGGACCAAGGAGUCAAGGUUUUGCGCGAGUGUUUGGGUGUAAAACCCGCACGCGUAAUGAAAGUGAACGUAGGUGAGAGCUUCGGCGCAUCAUCGACCGAUCCUGAUGUUUUCGGAUGGAUUUGAGUAAGAGCGUUAAGCCUUGGACCCGAAAGAUGGUGAACUAUGCUUGGAUAGGGUGAAGCCAGAGGAAACUCUGGUGGAGGCUCGCAGCGGUUCUGACGUGCAAAUCGAUCGUCAAAUCUGAGCAUGGGGGCGAAAGACUAAUCGAACCAUCUAGUAGCUGGGUACCGCCGAA
rnacentral:rRNA from 1 species